CACUUGUAGUCGCAAGGGGGCGGGGCAGAGCAGAGCGAAGGUCCUGAGGAAGACCGGGAUAAAGCGACUCUCGUUAAGUGGCCAACGGGAAAGGGACGCGCCUGCUCCCUUCCUCACCGAAAGACGCCGGGAAAAACCUGCAAAUAGCAGUUAGAGACAGAUUGAAUUUUUGUCACAGCAGAGAUUCAUUCAACAAGCAAUGAUUGAGCAGUGUGAUACAGAGUCAGUGUGGUUCAAAGGAGUGUUGGACUUAAAAUAAGGAGAGCUUCAUCUUCAAAUCCCACCAAUGAUGCAUUCAACUAUAUGAGCUUCGGAAAUCAUUCCAUCUCUAAGUUUUCAUCAUCUGUAAAAGAAUAUAUAUAUAUAGUACCUUCCUCAUAGCGUUGUUUUAAGGAUCAGAAGUGAUAUUUAUAAAGUGCUUGGCACAUAGUAGGCACUAAAUAAAAUGCUUAAAUUUUUUCUA